GAUGAACGCUGGCGGCGUGCCUAAUACAUGCAAGUCGAGCGAACAGACGAGGAGCUUGCUCCUCUGACGUUAGCGGCGGACGGGUGAGUAACACGUGGAUAACCUACCUAUAAGACUGGGAUAACUUCGGGAAACCGGAGCUAAUACCGGAUAAUAUAUUGAACCGCAUGGUUCAAUAGUGAAAGACGGUUUUGCUGUCACUUAUAGAUGGAUCCGCGCCGCAUUAGCUAGUUGGUAAGGUAACGGCUUACCAAGGCAACGAUGCGUAGCCGACCUGAGAGGGGGGUCCGGCCCACCGGGACCUGGGCCCGGGGCCGACCCCCCCAGGGGGGCCGCGGGGGGGAAUCUUCCGCAAUGGGCGAAAGCCUACCGGAGCAACGCCGCGGGGGUGAAGAAGGUCUUCGGUUCGUAAACCCCUUUUUUUGGGGAAAAACAAAUGUUUAAGUAACUAUUCACGUCUUGCCGGUCCCUAACCAGAAAGCCCCGGCUACCUCCGU
rnacentral:rRNA from 1 species